UUAAGCGACUAAGCGUACACGGUGGAUGCCCUGGCAGUCAGAGGCGAUGAAGGACGUGCUAAUCUGCGAUAAGCGUCGGUAAGGUGAUAUGAACCGUUAUAACCGGCGAUUUCCGAAUGGGGAAACCCAGUGUGUUUCGACACACUAUCAUUAACUGAAUCCAUAGGUUAAUGAGGCGAACCGGGGGAACUGAAACAUCUAAGUACCCCGAGGAAAAGAAAUCAACCGAGAUUCCCCCAGUAGCGGCGAGCGAACGGGGAGCAGCCCAGAGCCUGAAUCAGUAUGUGUGUUAGUGGAAGCGUCUGGAAAGGCGCGCGAUACAGGGUGACAGCCCCGUACACAAAAAUGCACAUGCUGUGAGCUCGAUGAGUAGGGCGGGACACGUGGUAUCCUGUCUGAAUAUGGGGGGACCAUCCUCCAAGGCUAAAUACUCCUGACUGACCGAUAGUGAACCAGUACCGUGAGGGAAAGGCGAAAAGAACCCCGGCGAGGGGAGUGAAAAAGAACCUGAAACCGUGU
rnacentral:rRNA from 1 species